GUGCUCGCUUUGGCAACACAUAUACUAAAAUUGGAACGAUACAAAAGAUUAGCAUGGCCCCUGCUAAUCUUGAUGACACGCAAAUUUGUGAAGUGUUCCAUAUUUAA